ensembl:snRNA U6 U6 spliceosomal RNA
GUGCUGGUAUUGGCAGCAGCAUAUGUGCUAAAAUUUUACUGAUAUACAGAAGAUUAGCAUGGCCCUGUAUGCAAAGAUGAAACACAAAUUCAUGAAGUGUUUCAUAUUUUU